UCGAGUUAGGGUUCCCCUCGAGGGCCCGACCUCCAACCCGGUGUCUAAACUUACCACUGUUGCUUCGGCGGGCCCGCCUGUAGUAGGGCCGCCGGGGGUCUCUGUGCCCCUGGCCCGUGCCCGUCGAGAGCCCAAUUCAAACUCUUGUAUAACCGUGUCCUGUCUGAAUGAUACAUAUAAAUAAGCACA
rnacentral:misc_RNA from 1 species